GUGAGGAAUAUUGCACAAUGGGCGCAAGCCUGAUGCAGCGACGCCGCGUGGGUGAAGAAGGUUUUCGGAUCGUAAAGCCCUUUUCUGCGUGACGAGAGUGGACGGUAGCGCAGGAAUAAGUCUCGGCUAACUACGUGCCAGCAGCCGCGGUAAAACGUAGGAGGCAAGCGUUAUCCGGAGUUACUGGGCGUAAAGCGCGUGCAGGUGGGUUAUUAAGUCACUUAUGAAAGCUCCCGGCUAAACUGGGAGAGGCUGAGUGAAACUGGUAGCCUUGAGUAGAGGAGAGGUAGACGGAAUUCCGCGUGUAGUGGUGAAAUGCGUAGAGAUGCGGAAGAACACCAGUGGCGAAGGCGGUCUACUGGCCUCUAACUGACACUCAGACGCGAAAGCAUGGGUAGCGAACGGGAUUAGAAACCCUUGUAGUCC
rnacentral:rRNA from 1 species